rnacentral:rRNA from 1 species
AUUGAACGCUGGCGGCAGGCCUAACACAUGCAAGUCGAGCGGAGCGGCGGACGGGUGAGUAAUGCCUAUGAAUCUGCCUGGUAGUGGGGGAUAACGUCCGGAAACGGGCGCUAAUACCGCAUACUAUCAGAUGAGACUAGGUCGGAUUAGCUAGUUGGGGGGGUAAAGGUCUACCAAGGCGACGAGCCGUAACUGGUCUGAGAGGAGGAUCAGUCACACUGGAACGGAGACACGGUCCAGACUCCUACGGGAGGCAGCAGUGGGGAAUAUGGGACAAUGGGCGAAAGCCUGAUCCAGCCAUGCCGAGUGUGUGAAGAAGGUCUUCGGUUUGUAAAGCACUUUAAGUUGGGAGGCGUUACCAGCAGAAUAAGCACCGGCUAACUUCGUGCCAGCCGCCGCGGUAAUUC